UGCGUAGGCGGAUUAAUAAGUCAGUGGUGAAAACCUGCAGCUUAACUGCAGACCUGCCAUUGAUACUGUUAGUCUUGAGUACGGUCAAGGUAGGCGGAAUGUGUAAUGUAGCGGUGAAAUGCUUAGAUAUUACACAGAACACCGAUUGCGAAGGCAGCUUACUGGGCCAUUACUUACGCUGAGGCACGAAAGCGUGGGGAGCGAACAGGAUUAGAUACCCUGGUAGUCC
rnacentral:rRNA from 1 species